rnacentral:rRNA from 1 species
AUGGCGAGAUUUUGGUGGAGUGUAUCUCUUGAUAGACGGUCGAUGCACUGGGUAUCUUGGUAUGAAUUUGCAUCUCCAAAAGCUUCAGGUGGAAUGGGGUUUCGUGACCUACAACUCUUCAACUUGGCUCUUCUAGGGAAACAUGGAUGGCGAUUCAUAACUAAUCCAGAUUCCCUAUGUGCCCGUGUCAUGAAAGGCCGUUAUUUCCCUGAUGGUGAGUUUAUGCAGGCUUCGGUGCCGCGAGCCUCAUCGGCUGUUUGGCGGGCAAUCGUUGCAGGUCGGGAGGCGCUGCAGACUGUGCUGUUGAGACGAGUUGGUAAUGGCCAGAGCAUAUCCAUUUGGGAAGAUAAGUGGAUCCCUGGUCUUGACUCUUUGAGUCCAUCGGUGAUGCCGGGAGGUACUACACUGGCUACUGUGAGUGAGUUGAUUGAUGUCGAGAACUGGACUUGGCGCCGGGAGCUGAUUCGGAAUGUUUUUAUCCCUCCAGAAGCUGAUGCUAUUCUCAACAUACCACUAUGA